rnacentral:lncRNA from 1 species
CUCCCCCCAAAUGCCCCCCAGUCAGCCAGCCCCGCCUCCACGACGCGACAGCAGCCAGCGAGCCACCGCUGCUGCUUUGUCUUCUUCUCCGAGCAACAGCAGUCACGUCUCCAGCUCUACCAGUCCCUCACCACUCACACACCCAUACGGAUAGGGCCAAGGAGAACGAUGAAACACCGUCCUUCUCACCAUAAGGACCAGUUGAAAACAACUUCAAAAAUAGUAGAAGAUCCUAUUUAAAUUAGCGGUCAGCUCUUUGAGCUCCGGUAUUUUCUGAGUCGAGUAGAGUUUGAGGUCGUCGGAGGUCGUUAUCCAAGCAGUCUGUUUCAGUUCUCCGUCUAGGUUGUUGUCGCUGUCCGAUUCCUUCGUAUUUAAACAUUUCAGAUUGCAUUUGGAAGGGUCGUCUCAGGUCCGCUUCGUCCUAACCUGUUUUUUUAGUAAUGUAAUUUUGGUAUCUUAUGCACUCUGUUGUUUUCUAAUUUAGCCAUUGAUACAUAAGUCAUUAUCAUCUUGGAUUUUCUUGCUGAUAAAAUUUGAAAUUGGUUGUGAUAAGAAUGAUGUUAGCCUUUGAUUUAAUCUUGUUUGGUUUAUUAUUUGAGAUGAGAUUUGUGUGUUAGGAUUAUGAUUCCUACUAAAGACAACAACCUUCAUAUUGAAUAAUUCGGAUAUAUA